GAAAAAAACACAUCCGGGGAAACGGUCCAUUCCGGCGUUACAGCUAGCUAUCAGUAGCUUCGUGAUAAUAUAGCGCUAACAGAUAAAGCCCUAGUGAGGGAACAACUGAAAAAUAAAGAGAACAGAGAGAAGACGAGAGAAGGAGACAGUAACGUGUGUUUUUGCGUCUAUUCUUUCGUCUCGUUGCGUAAAAUCUUACGGAAUUAUUCGCUGGUCGAGCCUCGAAGGCUUACGACCGCGUGCUUUCUUCAGACGGUGUUGAAGCUGUCGAUUCAUUUUCUCGAACAGCGGCUCUGACGUUAUCGUUUCCAUAGUAACGGCUCCUUCGCAGGCGCUGUACGGCAUGUCUGUAUCGCUCCGCGGGUAAUAUACGUCUUCUUAAAGCGGUGAGACGUCUAUUUCGAUAACGUUAAGGUUUACGGAAGGAGUCUCCGGUAUCGGAGGUAAAGACGAGGUAAAGAGGUAAAAGGAGUUUGCGCUCAUAUGCAAGCUGCGUUUAAUUUUUUAGAGAAAAAAGGGCGUAGUGUGAGAGGGGUAAAAGGAGUUUGCGCUCAUAUGCAAGCUGCGUUUAAUUUUUUAGAGAAAAAAGGGCGUAGUGUGAGAGGGGUAAAACACUUGGGGACUGCGGAGUGCUGAGAGGAGCUCAGUCACAGGGUUUGUGGUUCAGGACGGAAGGUUCGGUGCAGAGCUGCAGGACGGAGACGUGGAAACAUUAUUUAUUUAUUUAUUUAUUUAUUUAUUUAUUUAUUUAUUUAUUUAUUAGCGACCUUAGCGAAUGAAAUAAAUUUUCCAGACUGAACGCUCUGCUCUUUCUGAACUAAUUCUGGUUUUUUUUUCCUCCCGUUAUACUGCUCUAUAAUCUGGUCAAGUUUCUCUCCGACUGCAAAUUUAAUUCUAAUUAAAUAAUGAAGCGUUAAUUAGCAGCAAUAAAACUAAACCCACCCGAUGAUGAUGAUUAAGUCCUGAUCUGCAGAUCUGCGUGGUCGUCGUCUCGCGCUCUGUUCAAACGUAUAAAACUUUAUUACACCCCGCAGGAGGAAGUGACACACUGGCAGGGUUGGGGUUUUUUUUGUGUCCCCCCCGAGUUAUGGCCCCCUGGUGACAUUUUAAACGUUAUAGAACAGGACUUUAAAACUGUGAGAGCGGUUUAUAAAACUCCGAGUUAUUUAUCGCUUCCUCCAGCAGGCGAGCUUCACGUCCGCUGCAGGGUUUCUCACACCGAGUUCUGUUUAUUCCUAUUUUUAUUUUAAAGUUUUAUUUAGAAAUGUUAAAACGUCCUGCUUUUUAUUACAAAGACAGUGUUGCCAUGGCAACCGAGGCCAUUACCGGGUCAAUGACGGCCUGUUAUCGAGCGGCUCAGCUGACGUGAUAACAAGCCUUUUUUUUUUUUUUUUUUAACUUUUUCAUUUUGUACCUUUAUUCGGCUACAUUCAAGAGGAAGCUCACUUUCGCAUAAAAUUUACAUAUUUACAUAUAUUAGGAAUAUGCUAUAUGACAAAAAAAUCACAAAAGGUUGGCCAAGAAGCGUCUUGCAAAACUGCGUUUAAAGUGUUGUGUUUAAAGAAAAAUGUAAACAUAUCUAUAAGUUUAUAUAAAAAUAAACAAUUAAAUAAAUAAUUUAACAAUGAGGAUUUUUUAAUGUUUUAUUUAUUUAGUUAUUUAUUUAUUUAUUUAUUUAUUUAUUUUUACCAUCUUUAAAGUUUACUACAAAAAAGUUAUUGGUUAUAAAUUUACUACAAAACUGUUUCUGAUCAGUUUGUAAAUAUUUUUGUAAAAAACAAUUUAAAUUUAAAACAUAUAUAUUGCAAUACCUGCGAUAUCUCAGUAUUAUUAUUGUAAAAUAAAAAAGUGUGAAUUUUCUUCAGGGAUUAAUAAAGUCAUCUAUCUAUCUAUCUAUCUAUUGAUCUGCCUAACCUCAAACAGGAAGUAAGUAACGUGGCAAGUUGAACCAAUCACAUCGCAGCGUGAGAGCAGAGAGCUGACACACCUGAUGUGGAACACACCACAGAUCUGUUAAAGAGAACCCCAAACCAACCGUUUUCAACAGAACCCAAUGUAGAACCAGAACCCAAACUAGAACCAGAACUAGAACCAGAACUAGAACCAGAACCAGGGUUUGGACUCCUACCUGUAGCGAGACUCAGAGUUAUAUAAUACGAACACAGAGCUCACUCUGUGUUCAUCAGAAUCUCAUUAUAAUCUCAUUAAUAUUCAAAUGAGCGUGAAUACGAAUACAUUUAAAUAAUUAUUCAUGUAGAAUUAGUAAAGGAAUGCAAAGAAGCGGGUCUGGAGCGGAACACUCAAACACAGCGCCGUCUCACCGUGGGGUGUCACGGUGUGUGUGUGUGUGUGUGCGUGUGUGUGUGUGUG
ensembl:lncRNA